rnacentral:rRNA from 1 species
UAAUACGGAGGAUGCAAGCGUUAUCCGGAUUCAUUGGGUUUAAAGGGUGCGCAGGCGGGAUUUUAAGUCAGUGGUGAAAGCCCCCGGCUCAACCGGGGAAAUGCCAUUGAUACUGAUAUCCUAGAGUACAGUUGGGGUAGGCGGAAUGUGUCAUGUAGCGGUGAAAUGCUUAGAUAUGACACAGAACACCGAUCGCGAAGGCAGCUUACCAAGCUAAUACUGACGCUCAGGCACGAAAGCGUGGGGAUCAAACAGGAUUAGAUACCCUGGUAGUCCACGCUGUAAACGAUGAUCACUCGUUGUUGGCGAUAUACUGUCAGCGACUGAGCGAAAGCAUUAAGUGAUCCACCUGGGGAGUACGAUCGCAAGGUUGAAACUCAAAUGAAUUGACGG